AGCAGCUAACGUUUCACCGGUCUGAGAGAAACACCUUCGGGUGACCGGAAAAUCCUCGCAGCCUGAGAGAGGAUACCUUCGGGUGGUAAAUCCGUUUAACCUCUGGAAACGGAUAUCGC
rnacentral:sRNA from 1 species